UUAGGGUUUUCCAGGCAAAUCCGGAAAAUCAAGGCUGAGGCGUGAUGACGAGGCACUACGGUGCUGAAGCAACAAAUGCCCUGCUUCCAGGAAAAGCCUCUAAGCAUCAGGUAACAUCAAAUCGUACCCCAAACCGACACAGGUGGUCAGGUAGAGAAUACCAAGGCGCUUGAGAGAACUCGGGUGAAGGAACUAGGCAAAAUGGUGCCGUAACUUCGGGAGAAGGCACGCUGAUAUGUAGGUGAAGCGACUUGCUCGUGGAGCUGAAAUCAGUCGAAGAUACCAGCUGGCUGCAACUGUUUAUUAAAAACACAGCACUGUGCAAACACGAAAGUGGACGUAUACGGUGUGACGCCUCCCCGGUGCCGGAAGGUUAAUUGAUGGGGUUAGCGCAAGCGAAGCUCUUGAUCGAAGCCCCGGUAAACGGCGGCCGUAACGAUAACGGUCCUAAGGUAGCGAAAUUCCUUGUCGGGUAAGUUCCGACCUGCACGAAUGGCGUAAUGAUGGCCAGGCUGUCUCCACCCGAGACUCAGUGAAAUUGAACUCGCUGUGAAGAUGCAGUGUACCCGCGGCAAGACGGAAAGACCCCGUGAACCUUUACUAUAGCUUGACACUGAACAUUGAGCCUUGAUGUGUAGGAUAGGUGGGAGGCUUUGAAGUGUGGACGCCAGUCUGCAUGGAGCCGACCUUGAAAUACCACCCCUUAAUGUUUGAUGUUCUAACGUUGACCCGUAAUCCGGGUUGCGGACAGUGUCUGGUGGGUAGUUUGACUGGGGCGGUCUCCUCCUAAAGAGUAACGGAGGAGCACGAAGGUUGGCUAAUCCUGGUCGGACAUCAGGAGGUUAGUGCAAUGGCAUAAGCCAGCUUGACUGCGAGCGUGACGGCGCGAGCAGGUGCGAAAGCAGGUCAUAGUGAUCCGGUGGUUCUGAAUGGAAGGGCCAUCGCUCAACGGAUAAAAGGUACUCCGGGGAUAACAGGCUGAUACCGCCCAAGAGUUCAUAUCGACGGCGGUGUUUGGCACCUCGAUGUCGGCUCAUCACAUCCUGGGGCUGAAGUAGGUCCCAAGGGUAUGGCUGUUCGCCAUUUAAAGUGGUACGCGAGCUGGGUUUAGAACGUCGUGAGACAGUUCGGUCCCUAUCUGCCGUGGGCGCUGGAGAACUGAGGGGGGCUGCUCCUAGUACGAGAGGACCGGAGUGGACGCAUCACUGGUGCUCGGGUUGUCAUGCCAAUGGCACUGCCCGGUAGCUAAAUGCGGAAGAGAUAAGUGCUGAAAGCAUCUAAGCACGAAACUUGCCCCGAGAUGAGUUCUCCCUGACUCCUUGAGAGUCCUGAAGGAACGUUGAAGACGACGACGUUGAUAGGCCGGGUGUGUAAGCGCAGCGAUGCGUUGAGCUAACCGGUACUAAUGAACCGUGAGGCUUAACC
rnacentral:rRNA from 1 species